AGAUCAGCUCCGGAGAAGGGAAAACCACGCUCCUCUGACCAAGCCUCGGGAGCUAAGCCAGAUCUGCCAGUGAGCCUCAGGCUUUAGGAACUGAAGAGCCUCCGGGCUCCUGGGACAUUGAUGUAGAGUUUUUAGCAAAGUGGGCACCUUUCUAGUCCACGGCAUUUGAAGAGAGCGAGGAGAACCAUUCUGGAAACUCCAGGCUAUGCAUGUUUAAAGAUCUGGUCCCCUUUAUGAGAACGCAAGCCGAUCCACAUCCUGAGUUAAGAGAUCUGAUUCUGACGAACUGCCUGGAGGAGGGGAAUAUAUAAAAAUAAAAUUGGUGUCACUUCUUUUCUGCUAUCCCCCAGUCCCCCCCCAAAAUCCUCAUGUUUCUGCUUCAUAUUUUAAAAAAUAACAAUUAAAACAGACAGCUGUACUGAGGUAAGAUAUGUGUGACCUUCUUGGAAUGAAUAUUGUCUUUAGAAUACCCUUUGAUAAGCUGAGCUGUCCCGUGUAGAUGCAAUUCGGUUUAAUGGCAUUGAUGUAUAGUCACUGUGCCUUUCUUU
rnacentral:sRNA from 1 species